rnacentral:lncRNA from 1 species
UCAAGGCUUCAAUACCAUAGGCUUAUUCCUGUAUGAAUAAGGUCCAGAUUGAAUGACUUGAUCUCUGUCUUCUAUACUAUUAAAUCGGAAGAUGUAAUAGCCCUCAGAAUGGAUCAAAAUCUGAGGCUUAGAGACAAAGUUCCACACAUGCAACACAAAAUUUUCCAUAGCUUUCUCAUAGGGACUCUCUCCAAUUAUGUAACCAAUUAAGGAAGUAUUCCAAUAAUCAACCUGAGAUUUCAAAUCAUCUUCGCUUAUUUUGAAAAUCUUCUUACCAUCUUUGUCAAUAGGAGGCACAAACGAAGUGGUUUACCCAUUUGAGCACUGCGAUUACCUCGCACAACCUCAGCAACAGUCAGAAUAGAUUUCUCAGACCACUAGCAUCUGAGAAUUGUAAGUGUCUCACAACUAGACUAGUAUUCGCUUCAAUUUUACUCAUCUGAGGAGGUAUUACAUUCUCAGCACAACCAUCUUCAUGAAUCGCCUCACUCGAUUGGAACUUUUCAGGGAGGAAAUUACCAAAUGUCAGCGGUUCUAACUCCUUUGUAACACCAUGAGCUGGGGUAACAAUCUGAGCAGUAUUUGAUUGGAACUUUUGGCGGAGGAAAUUACCAAAUGUCAGCGGUUCUCACUCCUUUGUAACACCAUGAGCUGGGGUAACAAUCUGAGCAGUAGUGACAGCCACAUUCCUCCGGCGGCGAGCCAUUUUCCGGGCACAAUUGCAACCUUGCUAUCAUGCGCCGAGAGGUUAAGUGGAGACUCUUCUCUUUUCAUACUGAUAAAUGAGGAUUUUAAUGUGUUUUAUGCCCUUACUUGCCUAUGCUUUGUGUAUAAAUUUCCAUAAAAUAGUCCUGAAAUGCUCACAGGUUGUGCUUAGUUGAAGGUUUAAUCAACAAAGUAACGAAAUGUCAAAGAUCGGUUCAAAAAGGAGUGAAACCUGCUCAAGUAUCAAAGAAAAGAAACCUAAGGGAAGAUGGCCUAGUGCGGACCGUGCAAAAGUGUUUGCGGUCGCACUAGGAGGUUCGGGGACAUGGCCAGUUCAAGAUUAAGGCUAUGCGAUCGCAGUACAUUUCACACGGUCCGCGGCAAAGUUCCGCGGCCGCACCACUCUUUUGUGUGGUCCACAUACAUGAGAUUUAGAGAGGUGGAAAAAUGGUCAAGAAAAUGCCAUGCGGUCCGUGGUCAUCACUGCGUGGACCGCGAUAGACCCCCUCCGUGAUCGCGCUACACUUUCAUGCGGUCUGCUGUCCUCAAGUUCAGAGAAGGAAAAUAGUGAAGUCAGUGCGAUCGUAGUUGCUUUUUGCAGUCCG